AGAGUGUAGCUCAGUGGUGGAGUGCAUGCCUAGCAUGCACAAGGUCCUGGGUUCAAUUCCCAGUACCUCUG
rnacentral:tRNA from 1 species